UACUUAUCUACUUGCCAAUUAGUGGGGGAUUAAAUACCGCAUACUCUGACUUCGGUCAGGAAAGGGUUCCGCAAGGGCCCGCUAAUUGAGAGGGAUAAGGCGUAUUAGCUAGUUGGUGGGGUAAUGGCCUACCAAGGUAAUGAUGCGUAGCCGGCCUAAGAGGGUGAACGGCCACAAGGGAACUGAGACACGGUCCCUACUCCUACGGGAGGCAGAAGGAGGAAACAUUUCGCAAUGGACGCAAGUCUAACGGAGUGAUACUACGUGAAGGACGAAGGUCUACGGAUUGUAAACUUCUUUACUAGUAGGUACUGCUUUCGGGCUUGCCUGCUAGCAAAAAGUCACGACUAACUAUGUGCCAGCAGUCGCGGUAAGACAUAGGUGGCAAACGUUAUCCGGAAUUACUGGGCGUAAAGGGUGCGUAGGUGGUUUAAUAAGUUACUGGUGGGAAAUCGGGGCCCAACCCCGUGGAAGUCAGUAAUACUAUUAAACUAGAGGGCCGGAGAGGUUAACGGAAUUCUAUGUGUAGCGGUAAAAUGCUCAAAUAUAUAGAGGAACACCAAUUGGCGAAGGCAGUUAACUAUUCGGCGCCUGACGUUGAGGCACGAAAGCGUGGGGAGCAAGACGGAUUAGAUACCCGAGUAGUCCACGCCCUAAACGAUGAGUACUAGAUAUUGGGAACUUGAUUUUCAGUGUCGCAAGAUAACUCGGUAAGUACUCCGCCUGGGUAGUACGGUCGCAAGGCUAAAACUCAAAGGAAUUGACGGGAACUCACACAAGCAGUGGAGCAUGUGGUUUAAUCCGAUAUGACGCGUAGAACCUUACCGGGGCUUGACAUGUUCGGCAAAACUAGGGAAACCUAGCGGAGGUUAUCCGGACACAGGUGUUGCAUGGCCAUCGUCAGUUCGUGUUGUGAGAUGUAUGGUUUAGUCCUAUUAACGAACGAAACCCUUGUGCUUAGUUGCUAACAGGUAAGGCUGAGGACUCUAAGCAGACUGCCAAGGCAACUUGGAGGAAGGCGAGGAUCACGUCUGGUCGUC
rnacentral:rRNA from 1 species